CACCUGCCCGCCAGCCGCGGGCUCCUGCCGCUCUGCCCUGGGCACCAGCCCGGGCUCCAUACUCAUGCCUCCUUCUCCCCAUCGUCGCCCCGCUGCCGCUCCUCCCCGCCAAGUCCAGCACCACGUGCGGGAGCAAGCCCCGCUCUCGUGCCGGCCCGCCCUGCUGUUCCCCAGCCCGCGCUGAGCGUUACAGCGAAGCGCUCUGCACGCUAGGUGAAACCUCAUUUUAAAUGAGCGCUAUAAGGAAACUGGGUAAUAACAAACCUGCGCACUACAGCAAGGAGCCCUACCAGCCACAAUGAGUAUUAAUGGAAAGCUAUGCUGCAUUCCUGAGUAUCUACCAACAGGCUUUGGGGAGUGCUACAUACAGGGUGAGGACACACAUAACAACUACAUCAUUCCCAAAUGGCACUGAUUGGGAACUGGUUCACGAUUGUAUGAAGUACUAUGACUCCAACACCAAGAGGUGGGACUUAGUACCAGCCCAGCAUCUCUUACAGUAGUAAACUCAAUCUUCAAAGGAAACCCGAG